rnacentral:rRNA from 1 species
GACGAACGCUGGCGGCGUGCCUAACACAUGCAAGUCGAACGGAGAUUUCAGCAAUGAAAUCUUAGUGGCGAACGGGUGAGUAACGCGUAGACAACCUACCUUCUAGAUGGGGACAACACUGCGAAAGUGGUGCUAAUACCGAAUGUUGUAUUUUGGAUGCAUAUUCGAAAUACUAAAGGGGGCUCCUAUUUAUAAGCUACCACUAGAAGAUGGGUCUGCGUCUGAUUAGCUAGUUGGUGAGGUAAUGGCUCACCAAGGCGACGAUCAGUAGCCGGUCUGAGAGGAUGAACGGCCACACUGGGACUGAGACACGGCCCAGACUCCUACGGGAGGCAGCAGUGGGGAAUCUUCCGCAAUGGACGAAAGUCUGACGGAGCAACGCCGCGUGAGUGAAGAAGGUUUUCGGAUCGUAAAACUCUGUUUUCAGGGACGAAUGUGCCGAUUGUAAAUAAUGGUUGGUAAUGACGGUACCUGACAAGAAAGCCACGGCUAACUACGUGCCAGCCGCCGCAGUAAGAC